rnacentral:rRNA from 1 species
GGCGUAGGGGGUAUUGACCCCUCCUGUGCUGUAGCUAACGCGUUAAGUUGACCGCCUGGGGACUACGGCCGCAAGGCUAAAACUCAAAGGAAUUGACGGGGACCCGCACAAGCAGCGGAGCGUGUGGUUUAAUUCGAGGCUACGCGAAGAACCUUACCAGGGUUUGACAUCACGGUGGUAGAGAUCCGAAAGGUGAUCGACCCUUCGGGGAGCCGUGACAGGUGCUGCAUGGCUGUCGUCAGCUCGUGCCGUGAGGUGUUAGGUUAAGUCCUGUAACGAGCGCAACCCACGUCGUUAGUUACAUGUGUCUAACGAGACUGCCGGUGAUAAGCCGGAGGAAGGUGUGGAUGACGUCAAGUCAGCAUGGCCUUUAUAUCCUGGGCUACACACACGCUACAAUGGCCGGUACAAUGGGCAGCGAAACCGCGAGGUGAAGCCAAUCCUCCAAAGCCGGUCUCAGUUCGGAUUGUAGGCUGCAACUCGCCUGCAUGAAGUCGGAGUUGCUAGUAAACGUGCGUCAGCAACAGCGCGUUGAAUACGUUCCCGGGUCUUGUACACACCGCCCGUCACGUCAUGGAAGUUGGCAACGCCUGAAGUCGCUGGGCUAACCCUAACGGGAGGCAGGCGCCCAAGGCGGGGUCGGUAACUGGGACGAAGUCGUAACAAGGUAGCCG